GGUCAAAAUUUGGGGUCGACAA
rnacentral:siRNA from 1 species